UACGUAGGGUGCAAGCGUUAUCCGGAAUUAUUGGGCGGAAAGAGCUCGUAGGCGGUUUGUCGCGUCUGCUGUGAAAACCCGAGGCUCAACCUCGGGCCUGCAGUGGGUACGGGCAGACUAGAGUGCGGUAGGGGAGAUUGGAAUUCCUGGUGUAGCGGUGGAAUGCGCAGAUAUCAGGAGGAACACCGAUGGCGAAGGCAGAUCUCUGGGCCGUAACUGACGCUGAGGAGCGAAAGCAUGGGGAGCGAACAGG
rnacentral:rRNA from 1 species